UACGAAGGGUGCGAGCGUUGUUCGGAAUUACUGGGCGUAAAGGGUUCGUAGGCGGGAAGAUAAGUUGAGUGUGAAAACCCCGGGCUUAACCUGGGACGUGCACUCAAAACUGUUUUUCUUGAGUAUCGGAGAGGGUAGCGGAAUUGCUGGUGUAGGAGUGACGUCCGUAGAGAUCAGCAGGAACACCGGAGGCGAAGGCGACUGCCUGGCCGAAUACUGACGCUGAGGAACGAAAGCGUGGGGAGCAAACAGG
rnacentral:rRNA from 1 species